GCCGAGGGGUGAGCAUUCACACACGCAAUUUGACUUGUCCCAAAUAGAUAAUGGACAUUUUUCUAUUUGAAACAACAUCUGGCAAAAUGCCGUACAAACCAUACAAGUUUUUUUCAAUCCUGAAAUGCAAACAUUAAAAAAUUAAUAAUAAUCUAGGGGCUGCUGGAGCCGAUCCCAGCCGACUUCUGGUGGACGAAAUCCUUUGUUCCCCCCUUUAGUUUCUUUAAUGCAGAGAGAUGACAAUGCGCAGUGGUGUACCUCCAGUGGGAUCGCCGCCUGCCGCCACUCUUGGCUGAGGUUGGCUUCAGGGAUCCGGCAUCGGUGCUGGGGCGUGUCCGUUACGAAGACCAGUGAGAAGGAGCCUGUACCAUUUGGCAAGGCGGUGGAGCAGAGCAGAAAAAAAACCAAGAACUGGAAGCGACCCCACGUUCCCAGGAAGGCCACGCUGCCAUCAUAGUCCCACAUCUUCCGGAAG